rnacentral:ncRNA from 2 species
UAUUACCUUCAGGGCAGGGUGAGGAAGAAACCUUCCAAUUCCCGAUCGGUGGUCACAACCCACGAGCAGGCAAAUAACGCCAGCAUGAUUUGGUGAAAUUCCAGAGUCGACGGUACAGUCCGGAUAGAAGAAGGCUAAC